CAGUAGCCGCGGUAAUACGAAGGGGGCUAGCGUUGCUCGGAAUUACUGGGCGUAAAGGGAGCGUAGGCGGAUCGUUAAGUUGGGGGUGAAAGCCCGGGGCUCAACCUCGGAACUGCCUUCAAUACUGGCGAUCUUGAGUAUGAGAGAGGUGUGUGGAACUCCGAGUGUAGAGGUGAAAUUCGUAGAUAUUCGGAAGAACACCGGUGGCGAAGGCGGCGACCUGGUCCUUGACUGACGCUGAGGCGCGAAAGCGUGGGGAGCAAACAGGAUUAGAUACCCCUGUAGUCCCUGUCUCUUAUAC
rnacentral:rRNA from 1 species